rnacentral:rRNA from 1 species
UACGGGGGGGGCAAGCGUUGUUCGGAAUUACUGGGCGUAAAGGGCGCGUAGGCGGCUCGUUAAGUCGGGUGUGAAAACUCUGGGCUCAACCCAGAGCCUGCAUUCGAAACUGACGAGCUAGAGUUCUGGAGGGGAAAGCGGAAUUCCUGGUGUAGCGGUGAAAUGCGUAGAUAUCAGGAGGAACACCGGUGGCGAAGGCGGCUUUCUGGACAGAAACUGACGCUGAGGCGCGAAAGCUAGGGGAGCAAACAGG